rnacentral:rRNA from 1 species
GCGUGAGUGAAGAAGGCCCUAGGGUUGUAAAGUCCUUUCGGUGGUGAAGAUAAUGACGGUAACCACAGAAGAAGCCCCGGCUAAUUUCGUGCCAGCAGCCGCGGUAAUACGAAAGGGGCUAGCGUUGUUCGGAAUUACUGGGCGUAAAGCGCACGUAGGCGGCCAUGUAAGUUGGGGGUGAAAUCCCGGGGCUCAACCCCGGAACUGCCUUCAAAACUACAUAGCUAGAGGAUGUGAGAGGAUAGUGGAAUUCCGAGUGUAGAGGUGAAAUUCGU